GGGCCUAAGACCAGGGCUUCUGACUCUGACUCUGGAAGAGGAAGUUUUUCAUCCUGUGGCAGCGAAGGGAUCAUCCUGAAGAAAUAUGAGGGCAAAAACAGCUGUGAUGAGGAGUUUCCAGACAAUACACACGAUCCUGAUGGACGCAUUAUAUUCAGCAGUGCAUAUCCAGGCGAAGACAUCUGUGAAGAGACAGAGGAGGACAAUACACCAGUGUAAGAGAUGAAGAUAAAGAAACAUAAGCUGGUUUGAGAAACCUAUAAACUAUGAACGAGGUCAUCAGAGUUUCUCCUGAUUCCUGGAACAAGGAUGUAUAAACCCAGUUCUGCUGAAGUUCAGCAUGCUGCCGGUGACUUCACUUUACUUGAUGCAAAUUUAAUUUUGCCACAGAGACCUGAAACUCUUUAUGAAGGUAACAAUUCAGAUUUCACUGAUUCAGUUAUUUUAACAGUUUGCUCUGAAAUAAAAGCUUCCAGAUUAGGUGGCCUUCUACUAACAUACUGUGUGUAUAUGAUAAUCUAAAUCAUUAACUAGUUUUUGCUUUCAGUAGAGCUUGAAAUACUGAUUUGGUUAAAUCUUUACAUGAUACUUAAAUAAAUAAAUCUGCAUUUGAUGCAGAUCUGACUCUGUAAGUUAAGGUAUUCCAUAGUCUGGUGUCACCCACUGAAUAUGCAUGGUUACCCUUAUUCUUUAAUAAAAAAAAUAAUCCUGUAAGAACCAAAUAUACAUUAAGUUUCAUUUUAAAAAUAUUAUUAUAUUCUGUUACUGAGUUUUUAUUCUUUUCCAUUACAUGAGUUUGUUUAUGGAUACAAGGCGACAUUUGAGUUGCUAUUAGUUUCAAAAAGAGAAAAAAGAAAUUGAAGAUGGUCGUCAUGCAUAUAGAUAAAACUAAAUAUUUUGACCAUCAGUGUUUUGUAAAUAAGAUAAGCUGUCUAGAAUAGCGAGUGUUUCCUUAGUGGUUUAUUUCUUGUAUUGUUUUUAGUCCUUUGAUUUUAUUACCUUUUUAUUCCUUUAAUUACAAUGUCUUUCUAACUUUCUUUCAAUAUUGUUCUGUAUUAUGUUCUAAAAUGUUCUUUUUCUUUAUUUUGGCUUUUUUAUUUUAUAUAAACUCUCUUUUAAACUUGUUUUGCAUUGAAUGUUAUCUCUCUUUUAUCUGUAAAACACUUUAAAUUGCCACCAAAUUAAAUUGAAAGGUGUUGUACAGAUGAACUUGCCUUGCCUGUGUAAGAGGAGCAAAAUGGAGUCAGAUCCUAGUUAGCUGUGCACUUCUGCAAAUGACCAGUUAAAAGUUAUCAAAAGAAUAAAAACUCGGCCACUACAAAUCCUACACCUGAAAGAAAAGCUGUGUAGAGAUUUUAUAACCAGUAUCUCUCAUUCCUGUACCAUUAAUAAGGUGCAGAUUGAACAGAGAGUGCUUAAAUUUGGUGAAAAUCAGCAAACACAUCUAAAUUCACUUAUUUGUGCACAGAAACAGAAGACAUGUUUGAUUUAAUGUUUAAAUUUACCUUAAAUAUCUAUAUUCUCGAGUAUGUUCAAAAAGAUGAAGACUGUAAUUAUUUAAUGUCCAGGUAUCUAAUCAGAGCUGCACUCCUCCUCUUAUGAUUUCUGACCAUAAAUCUUUAAAUCUUCUCACAUACGGCUAAAAAAAGUUUAAAAGAGGUUAAAUAUUUGAGGACUAAUCUUCUAAACAGUAAAACUCUGAAUUCUGAUCACAUCAACACAGCUCCAUUAUUAUGCUGUUUUUAUUCAGAAAGGUCACACUGUUCUUAUUGUAAGUUGUAAUAUGUUAUUGUUAU